GCCGCCGUCGGGCUCCAUAUCGGUAGAGCGGAGGAGGGUUGAACACCCUCGUGCCACCAGUUCGAGCCUGGUUCCUGGCG
rnacentral:tRNA from 1 species